rnacentral:rRNA from 1 species
GACGAACGCUGGCGGCGUGCUUAACACAUGCAAGUCGAACGGAAAGGCCCUGCUUUUGUGGUGUGCUCGAGUGGCGAACGGGUGAGUAACACGUGAGUAACCUGCCCUUGACUUUGGGAUAACUUCAGGAAACUGGGGCUAAUACCGGAUAGGAGCUCCUGCUGCAUGGUGUGGGUUGGAAAGUUUCGGCGGUUGGGGAUGGACUCGCGGCUUAUCAGCUUGUUGGUGGGGUAGUGGCUUACCAAGGCUUUGACGGGUAGCCGGCCUGAGAGGGUGACCGGCCACAUUGGGACUGAGAUACGGCCCAGACUCCUACGGGAGGCAGCAGUGGGGAAUAUUGCACAAUGGGCGGAAGCCUGAUGCAGCAACGCCGCGUGCGGGAUGACGGCCUUCGGGUUGUAAACCGCUUUCGCCUGUGACGAAGCGUGAGUGACGGUAAUGGGUAAAGAAGCAACGGCUAACUACGUG